ensembl:lncRNA
AGGCAGCCGAGUCUCAGUUGCCAUACCUACUGUCCUUCUCUGAAUUGUGCUGCAGCCCAGUUAAUAGAGCCUUCUGCACACACUAGUCCGUUAUUAUUCUGCAAACAUCUGUCGAAUGCUCACUAUUUGCUACUCCCCGUACUAGACGCUGAUGAUGGAAAGAUGAAUACAACUCCGUCCCAACCCCACAGGGGCUCAUAAGAUAGCGGAGGAACGGAGAUGAACAAGUUAUUUCGACCUCUGCUUUCCUACCACCUCUCACUACCACCCUGUAGUUUUAAUUUUAAAACACCUCUUCCGGGAAAUCCUUGUUUGUCUCACACAGUGUGGUGAUCUGCCCACCUUGGCCUCCCAAAGUGCUGGGAUUACAGGCAUGAGCCACCGCGCCUGGAUUAAAUGACACACUUCUAAAUAAUACCUCAGCAAAGAGGAAGUCUCAAAGGAAAGUUUUAAAAAAUAUACCGAACUGAAUGGAAAUGUAAAUACAACAUAUCAAAAUUGGUGGAAUGAAGCUAAGGUGGUGCUGAGAGGGAAAUUCAUAACACUAAAUGAUUACAUUCAAAAAAAUAAAAUGAUUACCUUAGAAAAGAUCCCAAAUUGAUCACCUAAGUUUCUACCUCAAGAAAAACGAAGAGCAAAAUAAACCCAAAACAAGCAGAAGGAAGGAAAUAAUAAAGAUAAAAGCAGAAAUCAAUAAAAUUGAAAAGGAUAACAAUAGGGAAAUCAAUGGAACAGGAAGCUGGUUGAUAAAUCUCUAGCAAGCCUGACAAAAUCAAAAGAGAGGGGACACAAAUUUCCAAUAUCAGUUAUGAAACAGAAUAUAAUUAUAAUUCUUGCAGGUAUUAGAAGAAUAAAAGGGAAUGCCAUGGACAAGUGUACACUUACAAAUUAAACAACUUUAGAAGAAAUCCUCAACUUUAGAAGAAAUGGACCAAUUCUUGAAAAGCAUAAAUGACUGAAGCUCAAACAAGCUGAAACAGAAUAGUUCUAUAACCAUGAAAUAAAUUGAACUGCCACUAAAAUGCUCUGAAAAAAGAAAUCUCUAAACCCAGAUGGCUUCACUGGAGAACUCUACCAAACAUUCUGAGAAGAAUUAGCUCUGAUUUUAAACAUUCUAUUCUAGAGAAUAGAAGAAGAGGGAAUACUUCUCUACUCACUUUAUGAGGCCAGUAUUACUUUGAUACCCGAACUGGACAAACACAGUAGAAUAAAAGGAAAUUACAGACCAAUAUUUCUCAAAAACUUAGACACCGAAAUCCUCAAGAAAACAUUGUUCUUUCUUGGAAUCCAUGGGGAAUUGGUUUCAAGAUCUGGAGAAUACCAAAUUCCACAGAUACUAAAGUUUCCUCUAUAAAAUGGCACAGUGUUUGCGUAUAAUCUAGGCAUAUCCUCCUGUAUAUGUUAAAUCACCUCUAGAUUACUUUAUAGACAUGCUCUGCUUAAUGACAGGAAUACAUUCUGAGAAAUGCGUUUGGUGAUUUUGUUAUUGUGCAAACAUCAUAGCAUGCACUUACACAAGCCUUGAUGGCAUAGCCUAGGACACACAUAGGCUAUAUGAUCUAGCUUAUUGCUCCUAAGCUACAAACUUAUACAACAUGUUACUGCAUUGAAUACCAUAGGCAAUUGUAACACAAUGGUAGGUAUGUGUAUAUUUAAACAUAGAAAAGUUACAGCAAAAAUAUAGAAUUAUAAUUUUAUGAGAUCAUCAUUGUGUAUGUGGUCUGUUAAUUGACUAAAAUGUUGCUAUGCACUUUGUGAUUGUAAUACCUAAUAUGGGGUAAAUGCUAUGUAAAUAGUUGUUAUACCAUAUUGGUUUUUAUUUUUAUUAUUUUCAUUGUUACAGUGUUAUUUUAUUGUUAUUUUUCUAAAUAUUUUUGAUCUGCAGUUGGUUGAAUUUAUGGAUGCAGAACCCACAGAUAUGGAGGAUUUUGACUGUACUAGCAAAUCAAACCCAAUAAUGUAUUUUUAAAAAUAUGACAUGGCAAAUAGGAUUUAUCCCAGGUAUGCAUGGCUAGUUCAGUAUUAAAAAAAUCAAUCAAUGUGAUCUACAUUAUCUACAUAUCAACAGGCUACAGAAGAAAAUUCAUAUGUAAUCACAUCGUUUGAUACAGAAAAAGCAUUUGACAAAAUGCAACACCCAUUCAUGAUUAAACCUCGGUCUGUUCCCUGCCCAAUAACUGCAUAAAUGGGAAUAAAUUUGUGACUAUUGGGAAUUAAGAAUGUUCCAUCAGUUGAUGAGCAAUUUGGCAAGUGUCUGGAAGACAGGAAAUGAUGGAUGAACCAAGGUGGAGGACACGCUCCAAUCCAGGACAUAAACUGCCUUAUGGAGAGGCCCAUGUGACGUGGAAUUGAGGGAGGCCUCUGCCCAAAAGCUAGUGAGGAACUGAGGUUCUUAGUCCAACAGUUCAUGGGGAACUCCCUGCCAUCGAUCAUGUGAGAGAGCUUGGAAGUGACUCUCUCAGUCAAGGCAGCCUUGGCUGAAAGCUUUAUGAGAGACCUUGAAGCAGGGGCACCUAGGUAAACCAUGCUCAAAUCCCUGACCAACAGAAAC